GGAAGGAUAAGUCUUGGUGCAAGUUGUGUCUAUUGGUUGUAAUAUAUAUAGUGAAGAUAAUGAAAUUAAAGAGAUUAUGAAUGAACUUUUUUCGGAAGGUGAAUAUGUCAAUGACUCAAUUCUUUACAAAAGUAAAUUGUCUAAUAAUGAGUGUUUUUUUAGUUAGGGCUAGUGUAGAGAUGACAGUGAAAAUGUUUGAGUGAGAGAGAUGAAAGAGAAAGGAUUGAGAGGAAUGAAGGAGGUGAGUAAGGGUUUGAAGUUUCCUUUUUUAGUUUUGAGAACGAAAAUUAUUAAAAUAAGGCAAGUGUUUCUGAUUUUUUUUCCAAUUGGGGCUAGAGUAGGGAUGAUAGAGAAAAAGUUGGAGUGAAAGAGAUGAAAGAGAAAGGGUUGAGAGGGAUGAGAGAGGUGGGUAAGGGUUUUGGGGGGUUUUUUUUUUUUAAUUUUGAGAAUGAAAAUUAUUAAAAUACCCUAAACCUUAAAACUUAGAAUUCAUGAUAUAUAAGGGUAUUUUUGUCUACUGAAACCCAAUAUACAUUGCUAAAAUUUACCAACUG
rnacentral:lncRNA from 1 species